rnacentral:rRNA from 1 species
UACGGAGGGUGCGAGCGUUGUUCGGAAUUACUGGGCGUAAAGCGCGUGCAGGCGGUCGAUUAAGUCCGGUGUGAAAGCCCGGGGCUCACCCCCGGAAGUGCGCUGGAAACUAAUCAACUAGAGUACGGGAGAGGGAAGUGGAAUUCCUGGUGUAGCAGUGAAAUGCGUAGAUAUCAGGAGGAACACCGAUGGCGAAGGCAGGUCUCUGGGCUGACACUGACGCUCAUGCACGAAAGCGUGGGGAGCAAACAGG